UUAUAUUUUAAUGGGUCAAGACAAAAAAAAAAAAAUCCUUAACUUACAAGAGAAAACCCAUAAAGCUAGCUAAAGAUUUCUCAACAGAAACUUGGCAAAACAG